GAUGAACGCUGGCGGCGUGCCUAAUACAUGCAAGUCGAGCGAACAGAUGAGGAGCUUGCUCCUCUGACGUUAGCGGCGGACGGGUGAGUAACACGUGGAUAACCUACCUAUAAGACUGGGAUCACUUCGGGACACCGGAGCUAAUACCGGAUAAUAUAUUGAACCGCAUGGUUCAAUAGUGAAAGACGGUUUUGCUGUCACUUAUAGAUGGAUCCGCGCCGCAUUAGCUAGUUGGUAAGGUAACGGCUUACCAAGGCAACGAUGCGUAGCCGACCUGAGAGGGUGAUCGGCCACACUGGAACUGAGACACGGUCCAGACUCCUACGGGAGGCAGCAGUAGGGAAUCUUCCGCAAUGGGCGAAAGCCUGACGGAGCAACGCCGCGUGAGUGAUGAAGGUCUUCGGAUCGUAAAACUCUGUUAUUAGGGAAGAACAAAUGUGUAAGUAACUAUGCACGUCUUGACGGUACCUAAUCAGAAAGCCACGGCUAACUACGUG
rnacentral:rRNA from 1 species